CCUACGGGGGGCUGCAGUGGGGAAUAUUGGACAAUGGGGGGAACACUGAUCCAGCCAUGCCGCGUGUGUGAAGAAGGCCCUCGGGUUGUAAAGCACUUUCAGUGAGGAAGAACGCCUGGUGGUUAAUACCCAUCAGGAAAGACAUCACUCACAGAAGAAGCACCGGCAAACUCCGUGCCAGCAGCCGCGGUAAUACGGAGGGUGCGAGCGUUAAUCGGAAUUACUGGGCGUAAAGCGCGCGUAGGUGGCUUGAUAAGCCGGUUGUGAAAGCCCCGGGCUCAACCUGGGAACGGCAUCCGGAACUGUCAAGCUAGAGUGCAGGAGAGGAAGGUAGAAUUCCCGGUGUAGCGGUGAAAUGCGUAGAGAUCGGGAGGAAUACCAGUGGCGAAGGCGGCCUUCUGGACUGACACUGACACUGAGGUGCGAAAGCGUGGGUAGCAAACAGGAUUAGAUACCCUAGUAGUC
rnacentral:rRNA from 1 species